AAGUCGUAACAAGGUCUCCGUAGGUGAACCUGCGGAAGGAUCAUUAAUGAGGGCGUGUGGGCUAAUAUCCCCGCGAACCCUAAUCCUUUGUUUACUGUCCCAUUGUGGUUUACGUGGGCGCAGUUCUCUGACUUAAUUAAUAACUAAAGAAUAAUUUUUUUUUUAUUUAUUUUUUUUGGUCUAAUGAUUUGCCCAAAAGGCUGCCACAGUUGAAAAUUCUAAGUAAUAUAAUGAUGUCUGAGCAAAUUAUUUAAACAAGCAAAACUUUCAACAACGGAUCUCUUGGUUCCGGCAUCGAUGAAGAACGCAGCGAAAUGCGAUAAGUAAUGUGGACCGCAGUACUCAGCGACUCAUCGAAUCUUUGAACGCACAUUGCGCCCCUUGGUAUCCCAAGGGGCACACCUGUUCGAGCGUCAUUUAUAUACACUCAUCAAGCUUGGGCCCGGCUUGGUUUUGGGCUUAAUCUGCUUUAUGGUAGAGGCCUAAAAGUCAGUGGCGGUUUUAGUUAGGCAUUCCAGCGUAGUGAUUAUAUCAGCUGUCGAAAUGUCUUUCACAUAAAUAGUCAACACUCAAAAAUGACGUCCAAGGUUUCUGCUGGCGGAGACUUGGUUGGAUUUCAUGAAUUAUUGACCUCGGAUCAGGUGAGGAUACCCGCUGAAUUUAAGCAUAUUAAUAAGCGGAGGAAAAGAAACCAACAGGGAUUGCCUUAGUAGCGGCGAGUGAAGUGGCAACAGCUCACAUUUGAAAUCCGGCUCGUAACUAAGAGUCUGAGUUGUAAUCUGCAGAGGGAGUUUCGGGUAAAGUCUGGUUUAAGUUCCUUGGAACAGGACGUCAUAGAGGGUGAGAACCCCGUCAGUGACCAAUCACCAACCCAUGUGAAACCCCUUCGACGAGUCGAGUUGUUUGGGAAUGCAGCUCCAAAUGGGUGGUAAAUUUCAUCUAAAGCUAAAUAUUGGCCGGAGACCGAUAGCGCACAAGUAGAGUGAUCGAAAGAUGAAAAGCACUUUGGAAAGAGAGUUAAAUAGUACGUGAAAUUGUUGAAAGGGAAGCGCUUGCGGCCAGACCUGUGCAUAGGUGAUCAGUUGGUAUUUUAUUUUUAUUUUACCAAUGCACUCACCUAAAGCCAGGCCAGCAUCGGUUUCGGCGGCGGGACAAAAGCGUGGAGAAUGUAACUCUCUCUUGGUGAGUACUUAUAGCUCGUCAUGAAAUGCCGCCAGCCGGGACCGAGGACCGCGCUUCGGCUAGGAUGCUGGCGUAAUGGUUGCAAGCGACC
rnacentral:rRNA from 1 species